GACGAACGCUGGCGGCGUGCCUAAUACAUGCAAGUCGAACGCUGAAGGAGGAGCUUGCUUCUCUGGAUGAGUUGCGAACGGGUGAGUAACGCGUAGGUAACCUGCCCGUUAGCGGGGGAUAACUAUUGGAAACGAUAGCUAAUACCGCAUAAUAGUAGAUGUUGCAUGACAUUUGUUUAAAAGUUGCAAUUGCAUCACUACCAGAUGGACCUGCGUUGUAUUAGGUAGUUGGUGGGGUAACGGCUCACCAAGGCGACGAUACAGAGCCGACCUGAGAGGGGGAUCGGCCACCCUGAGACGGUGACCGGGCACAGAGGCACUGAGGAGGCAGCAGUAGGGAAUCGUGGGGCAUCGGCGGAAGACUGACCGAGCAACGCGGCGGGAGUAAAGAAGGUUGUCGGGUGGUAGAGGUCUGUUGUAAGGGAAGAAAGAGCGUGCGCGUGGAAAGUUCACACUGUGACGGUAACUUAUCAGAAAGGAACGGCUAACUACGUG
rnacentral:rRNA from 1 species